rnacentral:misc_RNA from 1 species
UUUCCGUAGGUGAACCUUCGGAAGGAUCAUUGUAGAGUUCCUUUUCAAACGGAUGUGAAGUUGUACCAAUACCUAUCGAGAACUAAGCAUUUUUGCUGUCAGCACUUGCGUUGUUUAGAUGGGUUCCCUUUGUUGCCUUCAUCUUGCUUCAUUUGAAGUGAGAAGUAGAGUAGAAAUAAAAGACCGGCACGGUUUGUGCCAAAGAUAGUCGUUGUUGGAGUACAUUGCCAUCUUUUUGAUGUCUUUGUUACUCUACAAGCAAAUACGUCUGAAUGACUCCUAGCAAUGGAUAUCUUGGCUCUC